GAGGGUAUAGCUCAUAGUGGUUAAAGUACAUGCUUGGCAUGCAUGAGAUCCUGAGUUCAAUCCCCAGUAUCCCUC
rnacentral:tRNA from 1 species